rnacentral:rRNA from 1 species
CGAAGGGGCUAGCGUUGUUCGGAAUUACUGGGCGUAAAGCGCGCGCAGGCGGUUUUUCAAGUCAGUGGUGAAAGCCCGGAGCUCAACUCCGGAACUGCCAUUGAAACUGUAAAACUUGAGGAUGAGAGAGGUGAGUGGAAUUCCCAGUGUAGAGGUGAAAUUCGUAGAUAUUGGGAAGAACACCGGUGGCGAAGGCGGCUCACUGGCUCAUAUCUGACGCUCAGGCGCGACAGCGUGGGGAUCAAACAGGAUUAGAUACCCUGGUAGUCCACGCCGUAAACGAUGAAUGCUAGCCGUUGGGCAGCUUGCUGUUCAGUGGCGCAGCUAACGCAUUAAGCAUUCCGCCUGGGGAGUACGGCCGCAAGGUUG